UUAGCCCUAAACACAAAUAAUUAUAAAAACAAAAUUAUUCGCCAGAGUACUACCGGCAACAGCCUAAAACUCAAAGGACUUGGCGGUGCUUUACACCCUUCUAGAGGAGCCUGUUCUAUAAUCGAUAAACCCCGAUAGACCUCACCAAUUCUUGCUAAUACAGUCUAUAUACCGCCAUCUUCAGCAAACCCUAAAAAGGAAUAAAAGUAAGCAUAAUCACAACACAUAAAAACGUUAGGUCAAGGUGUAACCUAUGAAAUGGGAAGAAAUGGGCUACAUUUUCUACCACAAGAAAAUCACACGAAAGUUAUUAUGAAACUAAUAACCAAAGGAGGAUUUAGUAGUAAACUAAGAAUAGAGUGCUUAGUUGAAUUAGGCCAUGAAGCACGC
rnacentral:rRNA from 1 species